AGUUUUAGUUUGGGUGGGGUGAUUAGAGUUUUGGACGGUGGCUUCUGUUUGAGGAGGGAGUGGCCUGAGGGAGGAGGUUCUUGGCGGGAGAGUAUGGAAGUUUCUACUAUGGUUAAGCUCAGUUUCAGAUCUAUGAGCAGUACUUUUUCCAGAUCCAAAGGAUGGAGCAGUUGAAGGAGGUAGAGAUGCUUCACCUACCAAGGAGGUAGAAUCAGCAUUUGGAGUAACAUCUGAGGCUUUGAAGCCAUCAGUAUUUGAAGUAGUA
rnacentral:lncRNA from 1 species